UAGAUUGAAGCCACAUGAUUUAUGGUGUUUAGCUGUUAACUUAAAGUUCACAGGUUCAAAUCUUAUCAGUGUAG
rnacentral:tRNA from 1 species